GGGAAAUAAAAAACAGGUUUUUUCAGCUAAAAUAAAAAAUAGGUAUGUGCUUGGUUUUUUCUUUUGAGAGAGCUAAUUUUUGUUUCUUAGACGAGGUACGGAGAGUUCUGGCCCAAAGUAUAUUGGGCUUGGCCCUAAUAGAUUGACUCCGAUGUUUAAAACAGGACCAAAAGAGUGCUACUGUACUGUACUGUCCAGCCCAACAAAGCUGUCUCAGUUCUCUCUCAAAAAAAAGAAAAACCUAAGCCAUCUUGUACGACAACGACGCGUGGCGGCGACGGCAGCUCAGUGGCGCGGUGGCUCCGGCCGUCGGCUGCGGUGUGCGGAGGCGCCGAGGAGGAUCGAGGAGAAGCAGCGUCGAUGCGGUCGCGACGGAGCGCGCGGGCGGGGUCGGCGCUGGAGCCGCUCGGAUGCCGGCUCCGUCGGCCCAAUCGACGGCGACCGGAUCUAAGCGGCGCCCGCACGCCGCCGAGGGGGAACAAGAAGUCGAAGCGAGGAGCCGAGCCUCCCUGAGCCCAAGCCUCCCUCGUGUCUACUCUGGCGCCAAAAGAGAAAAGCUUCAGGCAGAUCUGCUCUAGUUACUGAAGUAAUGUGGCAUUUUGGUCUAAGGUGGGGGCACUAGGAUUUCUAUUAGCCACACGAAGUGUGCAUAACUGCUAGAUCUGCACCUCCCCAGGUACAUAUUGUGGAAGAAUCAAAAUCUAAAGAAUAUAUCCUUUGAUCCUAAUUCCUCACACCAUUGUCCAUGGAUAAAUUAAAGGACCUUAAACUAACAAUUUCUCUGAAAAAAGAGAGAAAAGGUGGCCAGUAAUAUAUAGCAGAAAACAAGUUACUGAUCAGGCUAUCUUAUUGUGCUGAAUUUGUUGCUCUUGAAUCUUGUAAUAUUCAUGGUGUCGAUUCAGUCUCGAGCUAUUUUUAUGGUCCAACUAAUCAACUGUGUUUGUAGUAUUUAAGUAACUCUUUAAGCAACAUGCAUGAAAGACUGGUUUAUACUUGCAUGCCCGGUAGACACCAUUCUUACUUGACAUUUGCCUGCCUGCACAUUUACAACUGAACUGCUGUAGCCCUAGCUUGAAAUUUAGAUCAUAAUUAUAAAACCAAUGAGGUAUCCAUGCCAAUGAAAAGUUGAUUUGCGCGUAUAUACACAAAAUAUUUGCCUGAAUUACCUUAGUCAAAUUAUGUUACUGAGACAACUAUUUGAUUUUUGGAGUAGUUAAUUAUAGCGCAAUUACAUUUAUGGUUGGAAGAAUCAGUUAGACACAUUCAGAAGUAAUAUACCGCGGUGUAGACUCAGGAUGUAACACUAAAAUUCUCCUAUCUUUGGCACCACUUUUCUGUUGCAUUGUGGUCUUUCUUGGUUCUCCCCGUCCUUUUUUCUCCAUUCACCCUUCAAUCUGGAUAGCUCAGUUAGAAAGGCUAGGUCAGAGCAUCUCUGUGCCUCCAAAGUCGCCCUGGAUUCGCAAUUAUUGAGGCGCCUCCACUAUAAAAAGGCAACCAUCCACAAGAAGUAAGAACACAGCGAGCAAGCAAGCAAAGCACACAACAAGGACAAGACAGCAGCUGAGAACCCUAGUACUGAACCAAAAGCCUUCACAGGGGCUUACUGCGAAUGAACACCCAGAGGAAGCCUGGAGACUGGAACUGCAACUCGUGCCAGCACCUCAACUUCAGCCGCCGUGACUUCUGUCAGCGCUGCCGUGCCACGCGCUCGGAUCUGCAGCUCGGAGACGGCCGCUGUAUAGGUGGUGUGCUGACCUCCCUGGACGUUCGCCCAGGUGACUGGUACUGCAAUUGCGGCUACCACAACUUCGCCAGCCGCUCCAGCUGCCUCAAGUGUGGCACCAUCGUGAGGGACUUCCCAGCAGGCCAGGGUGGCACUGGCGCUGCUGAGAGCGGUGGAGUUCGUGCUGGGUGGAAAGCAGGUGAUUGGAUAUGCGCAAGGCCUGGCUGUAAUGUGCACAACUUUGCAAGUAGAAUUGAGUGCUAUCAUUGCAAUGCACCUAGGGAAGCAGGCACCGGGAAGUGAGGAGCAACCAUGCCGGCCGAGAUCCAGAGGCGUGACAAGAUGGCUUAGGACGAGAGCAACCAUUGUCACACUCGCAAGCUCCGAUCCAGGAAGAAUAAAACUACACAGUAGUAUAUAUGCUGAUGUAUUGCCACCUGUUAUACUACUACAACCGUUGCAUGGUUGCGAGGGCAGGAGAAGUUCCCUUACCUUCCCGAAUGUAACGCGUGCAUGGUAUCGCCGCGCCUCGUUUACGUUGGUCGAGGCAUCGCUCAUAUUGUACGGUUUGGAUUACUUGAAUAAAUAUUCUUAACCAUCCUUAUAUGUAUUGUGUAACGGUUGAUACGCUUGUGUUUCUGUUUCCUUUCC
rnacentral:rRNA from 1 species